CUAACUGAGGACGCUAGAGAGAGCAAGGGCUUCGGAGCAUCUGGAACUGGGUUCGCGUUCCAGCUCUGCCUCCCACCAGCUGGGAGGCUGUGGGCGAGGCCCCUUGCUUCCCUGGGCUUCCAUUAAGUAGGCGAGCGGCACUCACCAUGCCACGGAGGACGAGUCGGAGUCAGCGUCCUCUUUGUUUUCCACUGACGGCAGCAGGACCCCAAGGAGCUGGGCUCCACGCUCAGCCCAGCCCCAGGGGUGCAGGUCCUCCUCUGCCCGAGCCCUGGCCGAGCUCUGCGCUUCCCCGCGCACUCAGGCCAGGCAUCUCCCCAACUCAGGACUCACAGCUGCAUUCCCUUUGUGGUUUUCUCAGCUCUUGGAAAUUUGGGGGGACUGGGGUGGGUCUGUCAGUUUACAGACCCUCCACCUAGAAGCCAGACUGCCCGGAUCCACCCAGCGACAGCAGAAGACACCCCACUGAAGCUGGGCCACAGAGGAAGCCAAAGCAGAGCGUCGAAAACACUCACGUGCACACGAGUCCCCAGGGAGAUCCUGCUUCAGCCAGUGUGGCUGGGGCACUGCACCGCAGACCACACUGAGGAGCAAGCCCCAGCGAUCAGCCUGAGACCCUGGACUUGGCCUCAAAAGCUGAGUGACCCUGGCUCCUACGGAGUUAACAGAUGUACGCACGUCUGAGGCAGUCAUGCGGCAAGAGACUUUGGGGCCAAUCCUUCCCGUUUUGACAGUGUGUAAUCGAGGUGAAGCCAUAAAUUUUAUAAACAAGAGUAAACGACCCUCAGCAACAUAUGGAUGCUCGACCCUUCCAAGAUGAAGAAGCAAGUCCAAAGGAAGACGGAACUACUUGCCCAGAGUCGUGAUGCUAGGAAGUAACAGAGCUGGUCUUGGACCCACGUCUGCCUGAAGCUGACGCCCAUGCCGAGCGUCUGACUGUUGCUCACACUCCCGUGCUCCUUCUCACGCCACAAGCCUGGGGCUCCGCAGAGCCAGCAGUGAGGCCGCUGGAGCAGGCAGCCCUGUGCACGGAUUCACUCCCGAAGUGGGUGCUGCACUGGCGAACUGAGAGCAGAGGUUCUUCCCCGGGGCUUCCACGGGUUGUACGCAGACUGCGAACACGUGUCUUUGUGUCUGUCUAGGGAGAGGAUGCACAGAGCCUUCAUCAGAAGUUUGUGAAUCUGUGGAGUGGGAGAGCACCGGGACACCCCCAAAGUUCCUGGGUGUCCCCCAACCUUCCAAAUCCUGGUGUCCCCAGCCAGCUCACCUCCUGCCUCUGCUUGCGCCCAAGCACUGUCUUCCACGAUGGACUCCAGAGAAGAAAAGUGACAGGUCAAGGCAAAUGAACACUGCACCCUGGCCAGGCUGCAAAGGGGGCCUCAGUCCUCUCCCUAAGCAAGGUCGGACCAGCCUGGGUCCAGUAUCGCCAGUGGGCCUGGUCUGAAGGGAGGGGUGAGCCACAAAUCCUCCCAAGGCGCUGAUUUAUGUAGCAUUCA